rnacentral:rRNA from 1 species
AUUGAACGCUGGCGGCAGGCCUAACACAUGCAAGUCGAGCGGAUGAAGGGAGAUUGCUCCUGGAUUCAGCGGCGGACGGGGGAGUAAUGCCUAGGAAUCUGCCUGGUAGUGGGGGAUAACGUCUGGAAACGGGCGCUAAUACCGCAUACGUCCUGAGGGAGAAAGUGGGGGAUCUUCGGACCUCACGCUAUCAGAUGAGAGUAGGUCGGAUUAGCUAGUUGGUGGGGUAAAGGCCUACCAAGGCGACGAUCCGUAACUGGUCUGAGAGGAUGAUCAGUCACACUGGAACUGAGACAGUGUCCAGACUCCUACGGGACGCACCAGUGUCGCAUCUUGAACAAUGGUCAAAAGCCUUAUCCAACCAUGCCACGUGUGUGAAGAAGGUCUUCUGAUUGUAAAGCACUUUAAGUUGGGAGAAAACGCAUUAAGUUAAUACCUUGCUGUUUUAACGUUACCAACAAAAUAAGCACCGGCUAACUUCGUG